UACGUAGGGUGCGAGCGUUAAUCGGAAUUACUGGGCGUAAAGCGUGCGCAGGCGGUUUUGUAAGCCAGAUGUGAAAUCCCCGGGCUUAACCUGGGAAUGGCAUUUGGGACUGCAAGGCUUGAGUUUGGCAGAGGAGACUGGAAUUCCUGGUGUAGCAGUGAAAUGCGUAGAUAUCAGGAGGAAUACCGAUGGCGAAGGCAGGUCUCUGGGCUAGAACUGACGCUCAUGCACGAAAGCGUGGGGAGUAAACAGG
rnacentral:rRNA from 1 species